rnacentral:tRNA from 1 species
UCCAGCAUGGCUCAGAGGAUAGGGCAUUUGCCUGGGGAGCCAAGGGUGGCAGGUUCAAGCCCUGCCCCAGGAG